UACAGGGGGGGCAAGCGUUGUUCGGAAUUACUGGGCGUAAAGGGCUUGUAGGUGGCCGACUAAGUCCGACGUGAAAUCCCCAGGCUUAACCUGGGAACUGCGUCGGAUACUGGUUGGCUUGAAUCCGGGAGAGGGAUGCGGAAUUCCAGGUGUAGCGGUGAAAUGCGUAGAUAUCAGGAGGAACACCGGUGGCGAAGGCGGGUCUCUGGGCCGAUACUGACGCUGAGGAGCGAAAGCGUGGGGAGCGAACAGG
rnacentral:rRNA from 1 species